ACUGGGAAUGCACGGCCAGGACUUCCAGUGCUCCUCUCUGUGCUGGAGGUUGGCAUCUGGGCUUGAACAAACAUGAAAAAGCCCAACAUCCCAGGCCUUUCUCUCUAUCCUUUUCAAGACUUGUCUGACCCUCCCACCUUCCAUCAUUAGAGCUGGAUUUUGUCUCUUUUCUGUAGGGGAAGGAAGAGGCAGAGGCUGAGUGUGGUGUUGGUAAAGACAAGGGCCUUGUUGGUGAAUGGGGACUGGAAGGAGGAAAGGUGGGCAGACAAAAAGGAGGAUCUUCAGCCGCUUUCCGGAGAAAUCAUACUCAACUGUGCAAUCUGUGUUAGGCACAGUUCCUGUUCUAAGGGUCUCAUGAGGGAGAGAGAAGGACGACAGAUAAUGCAGCAGGACGUGUUUGCUUCCCCUUCCACCAUGAUUUUAAGUUUCCUGAGGCCUCCCCAGCCCUGCAGAACUCUGAGCUCCAAGUCUCCUUCUAUGCCAUCAAGCACUGCAAGCCUCUGCUCUCAGCCUGGAAGCCCUCUGCCUUCAAAGGCCCUUGAGGAGAACAUUUGGAAACUCUGCUUCCUCAGGUAGAAGCAGCUAUACAAAACUUAAAACAAAACUAGAAUAAUUUUAGACUUUCCUUUUAAUUACCCUGAAAACUACUCUUGCCCAUAUGCAUGCAUUGGUUUUCUGAGGUUGCAAAAUCAAAUCCUCUUGGUUUUAAAUCCACUAAAGCCUCUUUUGCCUGUCUGAUUUAUACAACGGUGUACAGGAAAUGCAGCUGUUAUUACUUCCAGGUGCACACACAGUAAUUUAACUAAAUGCUAUCAAAGCCUUUCCAAGUAAAAAGGCCU